AUUGAACGCUGGCGGCAAGCCUAACACAUGCAAGUCGAACGAGUGGCGGACGGGUGAGUAAUGUCUGGGAAACUGCCUGAUGGAGGGGGAUAACUACUGGAAACGGUAGCUAAUACAGCAUACCAUCGGAUGUGCCCAGAUGGGAUUAGCGAGUAGUGGGGGUAAAGGGUCACCUAGGCGAAGAUCCCUAGCUGGUCUGCGAGGAUGACCAGCAACACUGGAACUGAGACCCGGUGCGUACCCCUACGGUAGGCAGCAGUGGGGAAUAUUGCACAAUGGGCGCAAGCCUGAUUCAGCCAUGCCGCGUGGAUGAAGAAGGCCUUCGGGUUGUAAAGUACUUUCAGCGGGGAGGCGUUACCCGCAGAAGAAGCACCGGCUAACUCCGUGCCAGCAGCCGCGGUAAUUC
rnacentral:rRNA from 1 species